AUUGAACGCUGGCGGAAUGCUUUACACAUGCAAGUCGAGCGGCAGCGCGGCCUUCGGGCUGGCGGCGAGCGGCGAACGGGUGAGUAAUGCAUCGGAACAUGCCCAGUCGUGGGGGAUAACACUUCGAAAGAAGUGCUAAUACCGCAUACGUCCUGAGGGGGAAAGCGGGGGAUCGCAAGACCUCGCGCGAUUGGAGUGGCCGAUGUCAGAUUAGCUAGUUGGUGGGGUAAAGGCCUACCAAGGCGACGAUCUGUAGCUGGUCUGAGAGGAUGAUCAGCCACACUGGGACUGAGACACGGCCCAGGCUCCUACGGGAGGCAGCAGUGGGGAAUUUUGGACAAUGGGGGCAACCCUGAUCCAGCCAUUCCGCGUGAGUGAAGAAGGCCUUCGGGUUGUGAAGCUCUUUCGGCAGGAACGAAACGGUGGGCUCUAACAUAGUCCGCUAAUGACGGUACCUGAAGAAGAAGCACCGGCUAACCACGUG
rnacentral:rRNA from 1 species